CAACCUCAACUCAUAUGGGACUACCCCUGAAUUUAAGCAUAUAAUUAGGGGAGGAAAAGAAACUAACAAGGAUUUCUUAGUAGCGGCGAGCGAAAAGAAAACAGUUCAGCACUAAGUCACUUUGUCUAUAUGGCAAAAAUGUGAGAUGCAGUGUAUGGAGCGUCAAUAUUUCUAGUAUGAGAAUUAAUGAUUAAGUCCUUCUUAAAUGAGGCCAUUUACCCAUAGAGGGUGCCAGGCCCGUAUAACGUUAAUGAUUACUAGAUGAUUUCCAAAGAGUCGUGUUGCUUGAUAGUGCAGCACUAAGUGGGUGGUAAACUCCAUCUAAAACUAAAUAUAACCAUGAGACCGAUAGUAAACAAGUACCGUGAGGAAAGUUGAAAAGAACUCUGAAUAGAGAGUUAAACAGUACGUGAAACUGCUUAGAGGUUAAGCCCGAUGAACCUGAAUAUCCGUUAUGGAAAAUUCAUCAUUAAAAUUGUAAUAUUAAAUAAUAUUAUUAAGAAUAAUGUGCAUUUUUUCCAUAUAAGGACAUUGUAAUCUAUUAGCAUAUCCCAAAUUUAUCAUAAAAUAUAACUUAUAGUUAUUCCAAUUAAAUGCUUGCAUUUAACACAGAAUAAAUGUUAUUAAUUUGAUAAAUGCUGAUAGAUUUAUAUUAUUACAGAGCGUUAAUUUUUCGGAAUUAUAUAAUGGCAUAAUUAUCAUUGAUUUUUGUUUAUUAUAUGCUCUUGUAUGAUUAACAAUGCGAAAAGAUUCAGGAUACCUUCGGGACCCGUCUUGAACACGGACCAAGGAGUCUAACAUAUGUGCAAGUUAUUGGGAUGUAAACCUAAUAGCGUAAUUAACUUGACUAAUAAUGGGAUUAGUUUUUUAGCUAUUUAUAAGCUAAUUAACACAAUCCCGGGGCGUUCUAUAUAGUUAUGUAUAAUGUAUAUUUAUAUUAUUUAUGCCUCUAACUGGAACGUACCUUGAGCAAUAUAUGCUGUGACCCGAAAGAUGGUGAACUAUACUGAUCAGGUUGAAGUCAGGGGAAACCCUGAUGGAAGACCGAAACAGUUCUGACGUGCAAUCGGAUUGUCAGAAUUGAGUAUAGGGGCGAAAGACCAAUCGAACCAUCUAGUAGCUGGUUCCUUCCGAAGUUUCCCUCAGGAUAGCUGGUGCAUUUUAAUAUUAUAUAAAAUAAUCUUAUCUGGUAAAGCGAAUGAUUAGAGGCUUAGGGUCGAAACGAUCUUAACCUAUUCUCAAACUUUAAAUGGGUAAGAACCUUAACUUUCUUGAUAUGAAGUUCAAGGUUAUGAUAUAAUGUGCCCAGUGGGCCACUUUUGGUAAGCAGAACUGGCGCUGUGGGAUGAACCAAACGUAAUGUUACGGUGCCCAAAUUAACAACUCAUGCAGAUACCAUGAAAGGCGUUGGUUGCUUAAAACAGCAGGACGGUGAUCAUGGAAGUCGAAAUCCGCUAAGGAGUGUGUAACAACUCACCUGCCGAAGCAACUAGCCCUUAAAAUGGAUGGCGCUUAAGUUGUAUACCUAUACAUUACCGCUAAAGUAGAUGAUUUAUAUUACUUGUGAUAUAAAUUUUGAAACUUUAGUGAGUAGGAAGGUACAAUGGUAUGCGUAGAAGUGUUUGGCGUAAGCCUGCAUGGAGCUGCCAUUGGUACAGAUCUUGGUGGUAGUAGCAAAUAAUCGAAUGAGACCUUGGAGGACUGAAGUGGAGAAGGGUUUCGUGUGAACAGUGGUUGAUCACGAGUUAGUCGGUCCUAAGUUCAAGGCGAAAGCCGAAAAUUUUCAAGUAAAAAAAAAUGCCUAACUAUAUAAACAAAGCGAAUAUAAUACACUUGAAUAAUUUUGAACGAAAGGGAAUACGGUUCCAAUUCCGUAACCUGUUGAGUAUCCGUUUGUUAUUAAAUAUGGGCCUCGUGCUCAUCCUGGCAACAGGAACGACCAUAAAGAAGCCGUCGAGAGAUAUCGGAAGAGUUUUCUUUUCUGUUUUAUAGCCGUACUACCAUGGAAGUCUUUCGCAGAGAGAUAUGGUAGAUGGGCUAGAAGAGCAUGACAUAUACUGUUGUGUCGAUAUUUUCUCCUCGGACCUUGAAAAUUUAUGGUGGGGACACGCAAACUUCUCAACAGGCCGUACCAAUAUCCGCAGCUGGUCUCCAAGGUGAAGAGUCUCUAGUCGAUAGAAUAAUGUAGGUAAGGGAAGUCGGCAAAUUAGAUCCGUAACUUCGGGAUAAGGAUUGGCUCUGAAGAUUGAGAUAGUCGGGCUUGAUUGGGAAACAAUAACAUGGUUUAUGUGCUCGUUCUGGGUAAAUAGAGUUUCUAGCAUUUAUGUUAGUUACUUGUUCCCCGGAUAGUUUAGUUACGUAGCCAAUUGUGGAACUUUCUUGCUAAAAUUUUUAAGAAUACUAUUUGGGUUAAACCAAUUAGUUCUUAUCAAUUAUAACGAUUAUCAAUUAACAAUCAAUUCAGAACUGGCACGGACUUGGGGAAUCCGACUGUCUAAUU